AUUGAACGCUGGCGGCAGGCCUAACACAUGCAAGUCGAGCGGAUGAAGGGAGCUUGCUCCUGGAUUCAGCGGCGGACGGGUGAGUAAUGCCUAGGAAUCUGCCUGGUAGUGGGGGAUAACGUCCGGAAACGGGCGCUAAUACCGCAUACGUCCUGAGGGAGAAAGUGGGGGAUCUUCGGACCUCACGCUAUCAGAUGAGCCUAGGUCGGAUUAGCUAAUUGGUGGGGUAAAGGCCUACCAAGGCGACGAUCCGUAACUGGUCUGAGAGGAUGAUCAGUCACACUGGAACUGAGACACGGUCCAGACUCCUACGGGAGGCAGCAGUGGGGAAUAUUGGACAAUGGGCGAAAGCCUGAUCCAGCCAUGCCGCGUGUGUGAAGAAGGUCUUCGGAUCGUAAAGCACUUUAAGUUGGGAGGAAGGGCAGUAAGUUAAUACCUUGCUGUUUUGACGUUACCAACAGAAUAAGCACCGGCUAACUUCGUG
rnacentral:rRNA from 1 species